rnacentral:rRNA from 1 species
CGGGGUCUAAUACCGGAUAUGACCAUCUUGGGCAUCCUUGAUGGUGUAAAGCUCCGGCGGUGCAGGAUGAGCCCGCGGCCUAUCAGCUUGUUGGUGAGGUAAUGGCUCACCAAGGCGACGACGGGUAGCCGGCCUGAGAGGGCGACCGGCCACACUGGGACUGAAACACGGCCCAGACUCCUACGGGAGGCAGCAGUGGGGAAUAUUGCACAAUGGGCGAAAGCCUGAUGCAGCGACGCCGCGUGAGGGAUGACGGCCUUCGGGUUGUAAACCUCUUUCAGCAGGGAAGAAGCGAAAGUGACGGUACCUGCAGAAGAAGCGCCGGCUAACUACGUGCCAGCAGCCGCGGUAAUACGUAGGGCGCAAGCGUUGUCCGGAAUUAUUGGGCGUAAAGAGCUCGUAGGCGGCUUGUCACGUCGAUUGUGAAAGCUCGGGGCUUAACCCCGAGUCUGCAGUCGAUACGGGCUAGCUAGAGUGUGGUAGGGGAGAUCGGAAUUCCUGGUGUAGCGGUGAAAUGCGCAGAUAUCAGGAGGAACACCGGUGGCGAAGGCGGAUCUCUGGGCCAUUACUGACGCUGAGGA